rfam:Roseomonas cervicalis ATCC 49957 contig00320, whole genome shotgun sequence.
GGGGCUGUAGCUCAGUUGGGAGAGCGCGUCGUUCGCAAUGACGAGGUCAGGGGUUCGAUUCCCCUCAGCUCCA